UACAGUAAGUCCUCAUUUAACAUCAUCAUAGGGUCUUGGAACCUGUGACUUCAAGUGACAUGACCUUUUCAAAUAAUGUUAUUUCCUUCAACAUCAUUUUGUUAUAACAUUAAGUGAAAAAAAAAAUUGGUUUUGUUAUAGUUGAAAAUUCAACAAACCCAAAUAUUCCAUACCCAAAGGACAUAACUAUAUUUCCAAUCCUAAUUCCUAACAGUGAAACAUCUAUAGAGAGCAUUCCACAGUAUCCAACAUAGAAAAUAACU